CUUGUCUUGGAUCAUGACACAGACAAAAACAAUAGAACUUUUUGUCUAUGGAAGGCCUCUAGGACAAAAACAUUUUUAUAUUUAUAUACUAAAUUACAAUGGCCAACAUGUGGGAGAUCACGAAAUUACAGGAUAAAGAGAGCUUUAGGCUUUACAAUGAACCAUAGAGAAGAAUGUAUACAAUGAUCAUGAUCAUGUGACAACUGACAAAUUGACAAUGUCAUUUUCAAGGACAAAGAGCAAGGACCACAAAAAAACCGAAAAAUCAAAAUAUAAAAUAUUUUUAGAUAUUUAUUAUUUUGAUUAAAUAUUUUUAUAAUACUUGUGAUUGUGAUUAAAUAAUCAUUAUUCAAUUUACAAUAUUCAUUUCGAGUAAUUUAAAUUAGUUGGUGCUUAGAUUACCUUGAUUGUCGAUUGUUAUUUCUACAUACAAAUUUUAGGGUAGAAAAAACCAAAAACCUUGCUUCACAGAAAAAAGACAUGGAGUUUGAUCCAGAGGCAGUAAGCGAUUUGCUAGAUAAACUAGUAUUACACCAACUGCAUUUGAUGGAGGACAAGAUGGCUUGUGAAUUGAACAUAGAAAAGAGUAUAAACAAUGGUAGUAUUCAUUUGGCAAAGUCUAGAUACAUUAUGGGACAGAGUUCUGUUAGCAAAGAGCGACUGCCAACAGAGAGCAGCCCAGAGUUUUCUGCCUCUGUUACAUGUGAGUCCAUUGAAGAAGACAAUCAAAGAAAAUUGAAGGUGAUUGAAACAGAGGACACUAGUGUAAACCCUCUGCACUGGUUUGGUGUGUUGGUCCCCCAGAAUUUACACAAGGCGAAAGGUAUUUUCCAGAAUACAAUCAAUUUUAUUGUUGAAUGUGCAAAUGUUCAGUUACAAAUAUAUGAAAACAUAAAGAAUAUUGAAGCAUUGAAAUAUUUUAAAAAUAAUGUUAGUUCAUAAAACUAGUGUUUUCUUCUUAGUACAGCAGUACUCUGAGUAGGUACCUAGUUCUAUAAAUAGAGAUUUCAAAAAAUGUAUGUAAUUAAUUAUAUCUAUACAUUCAAGA